GCUCUCACUGGUGUUCACGAGCUUAGCUGGAGAUUUUCACUCGAGAUCCUCAAAAUAUGAUCCAAUCAGACAGCAGGAAUGCAGUCAGGUGAUUAAGCUGAGGGUAAAGUGCUGGAU